rnacentral:sRNA from 1 species
GCUGGGCAUGGUGGUGCAUGCCUGUAAUCCCAGUGGCUGGGGAGGCUGAGGCAAGAGGAUCACAAAUUUAAAACCAGCCUCAG